GGGCGGGACACGUGGUAUCCUGUCUGAAUAUGGGGGGACCAUCCUCCAAGGCUAAAUACUCCUGACUGACCGAUAGUGAACCAGUACCGUGAGGGAAAGGCGAAAAGAACCCCGGCGAGGGGAGUGAAACAGAACCUGAAACCGUGUACGUACAAGCAGUGGGAGCCUCUCUUUAUGGGGGGUGACUGCGUACCUUUUGUAUAAUGGGUCAGCGACUUAUAUUCUGUAGCAAGGUUAACCGCAUAGGGGAGCCGAAGGGAAACCGAGUCUUAACCGGGCGUUAAGUUGCAGGGUAUAGACCCGAAACCCGGUGAUCUAGCCAUGGGCAGGUUGAAGGUUGGGUAACACUAACUGGAGGACCGAACCGACUAAUGUUGAAAAAUUAGCGGAUGACCUGUGGCUGGGGGUGAAAGGCCAAUCAAACCGGGAGAUAGCUGGUUCUCCCCGAAAGCUAUUUAGGUAGCGCCUCGUGAACUCAUCUCCGGGGGUAGAGCACUGUUUCGGCUAGGGGGCCAUCCCGGCUUACCAACCCGAUGCAAACUGCGAAUACCGGAGAAUGUUAUCACGGGAGACACACGGCGGGUGCUAACGUCCGUCGUGAAGAGGGAAACAACCCAGACCGCCAGCUAAGGUCCCAAAGUCAUGGUUAAGUGGGAAACGAUGUGGGAAGGCCCAGACAGCCAGGAUGUUGGCUUAGAAGCAGCCAUCAUUUAAAGAAAGCGUAAUAGCUCACUGGUCGAGUCGGCCUGCGCGGAAGAUGUAACGGGGCUAAACCAUGCACCGAAGCUGCGGCAGCGACACUGUGUGUUGUUGGGUAGGGGAGCGUUCUGUAAGCCGUUGAAGGUGUCCUGUGAGGGGUGCUGGAGGUAUCAGAAGUGCGAAUGCUGACAUAAGUAACGAUAAAGCGGGUGAAAAGCCCGCUCGCCGGAAGACCAAGGGUUCCUGUCCAACGUUAAUCGGGGCAGGGUGAGUCGACCCCUAAGGCGAGGCCGAAAGGCGUAGUCGAUGGGAAACGGGUUAAUAUUCCCGUACUUGGUGUUACUGCGAAGGGGGGACGGAGAAGGCUAUGUUGGCCGGGCGACGGUUGUCCCGGUUUAAGCGUGUAGGUGUGUGUUCCAGGUAAAUCCGGUUCACUUUAACACUGAGGCGUGAUGACGAGGCACCACGGUGCUGAAGCAACAAAUGCCCUGCUUCCAGGAAAAGCCUCUAAGCAUCAGGUAACAUCAAAUCGUACCCCAAACCGACACAGGUGGUCAGGUAGAGAAUACCAAGGCGCUUGAGAGAACUCGGGUGAAGGAACUAGGCAAAAUGGUGCCGUAACUUCGGGAGAAGGCACGCUGACACGUAGGUGAAGUGAUUUACUCAUGGAGCUGAAGUCAGUCGAAGAUACCAGCUGGCUGCAACUGUUUAUUAAAAACACAGCACUGUGCAAACACGAAAGUGGACGUAUACGGUGUGACGCCUGCCCGGUGCCGGAAGGUUAAUUGAUGGGGUCAGCGCAAGCGAAGCUCCUGAUCGAAGCCCCGGUAAACGGCGGCCGUAACUAUAACGGUCCUAAGGUAGCGAAAUUCCUUGUCGGGUAAGUUCCGACCUGCACGAAUGGCGUAAUGAUGGCCAGGCUGUCUCCACCCGAGACUCAGUGAAAUUGAACUCGCUGUGAAGAUGCAGUGUACCCGCGGCAAGACGGAAAGACCCCGUGAACCUUUACUAUAGCUUGACACUGAACAUUGAGCCUUGAUGUGUAGGAUAGGUGGGAGGCUUUGAAGCGUGGACGCCAGUCUGCGUGGAGCCGACCUUGAAAUACCACCCUUUAAUGUUUGAUGUUCUAACGUGGACCCGUAAUCCGGGUUGCGGACAGUGUCUGGUGGGUAGUUUGACUGGGGCGGUCUCCUCCUAAAGAGUAACGGAGGAGCACGAAGGUUGGCUAAUCCUGGUCGGACAUCAGGAGGUUAGUGCAAUGGCAUAAGCCAGCUUGACUGCGAGCGUGACGGCGCGAGCAGGUGCGAAAGCAGGUCAUAGUGAUCCGGUGGUUCUGAAUGGAAGGGCCAUCGCUCAACGGAUAAAAGGUACUCCGGGGAUAACAGGCUGAUACCGCCCAAGAGUUCAUAUCGACGGCGGUGUUUGGCACCUCGAUGUCGGCUCAUCACAUCCUGGGGCUGAAGUAGGUCCCAAGGGUAUGGCUGUUCGCCAUUUAAAGUGGUACGCGAGCUGGGUUUAGAACGUCGUGAGACAGUUCGGUCCCUAUCUGCCGUGGGCGCUGGAAGACUGAGGGGGGCUGCUCCUAGUACGAGAGGACCGGAGUGGACGCAUCACUGGUGUUCGGGUUGUCAUGCCAAUGGCACUGCCCGGUAGCUAAAUGCGGAAAAGAUAAGUGCUGAAAGCAUCUAAGCAC
rnacentral:rRNA from 1 species